AUGAUGUGCUUGCUUUCCGCAAAUCCUGUAACAUUUGAAACUUUCAAGUCAGUUGAAACUCCCAUACACUCGAAGAUAUUGAGUUUCGUCGUGACGGCACUGUUUCUCUACAGUGGUCAAGUUUCUAUUGUUCCUCAGAAACAUAAGCCUAGGCCUGAUUGCAGCGACCGUGGCUGUCGGUAUACGCUUUGUACGUCAUCUGUUGAUCUCACUCUUGACACUCUCUCUUCCGCGAAAUACUUCGGCAUUGAAUGGUUACAUUGCUUAGAAACAACUUGCAAGCAUGGUGAAGAAAAAAAAACUUCCAUUUGA